UUUGAUGGCGACCGGCGCACGGGUGAGUAACACGUAUCCGAACCUGCCGAUGACUCGGGGAUAGCCUUUCGAAAGAAAGAUUAAUACCCGAUGGCAUAGUUCUUCCGCAUGGUGGAACUAUUAAAGAAUUUCGGUCAUCGAUGGGGAUGCGUUCCAUUAGGUUGUUGGCGGGGUAACGGCCCACCAAGCCUUCGAUGGAUAGGGGUUCUGAGAGGAAGGUCCCCCACAUUGGAACUGAGACACGGUCCAAACUCCUACGGGAGGCAGCAUG
rnacentral:rRNA from 1 species